rnacentral:rRNA from 1 species
AGUCGAGGGGCAGCAUUUUAGUUUGCUUGCAAACUGAAGAUGGCGACCGGCGCACGGGUGAGUAACACGUAUCCAACCUGCCGAUAACUCUGGAAUAGCCUUUCGAAAGAAAGAUUAAUACCGGAUGGCAUACGAAUAUCGCAUGAUAUUUUUAUUAAAGAAUUUCGGUUAUCGAUGGGGAUGCGUUCCAUUAGUUUGUUGGCGGGGUAACGGCCCACCAAGACAACGAUGGAUAGGGGUUCUGAGAGGAAGGUCCCCCACAUUGGAACUGAGACACGGUCCAAACUCCUACGGGAGGCAGCAGCGAGGAAUAUUGGUCAAUGGGCGAGAGCCUGAACCAGCCAAGUAGCGUGAAGGAUGAAGGCUCUAUGGGUCGUAAACUUCUUUUAUAUGGGAAUAAAGUUUUCCACGUGUGGAAUUUUGUAUGUACCAUAUGAAUAAGGAUCGGCUAACUCCGUGCCAGCAGCCGCGGUAAUACGGAGGAUCCGAGCGUUAUCCGGAUUUAUUGGGUUUAAAGGGAGCGUAGGUGGAUUGUUAAGUCAGUUGUGAAAGUUUGCGGCUCAACCGUAAAAUUGCAGUUGAAACUGGCAGUCUUGAGUACAGUAGAGGUGGGCGGAAUUCGUGGUGUAGCGGUGAAAUGCUUAGAUAUCACGAAGAACUCCGAUUGCGAAGGCAGCUCACUAGACUGUUACUGACACUGAUGCUCGAAAGUGUGGGUAUCAAACAGGAUUAGAUACCCUGGUAGUCCACACAGUAAACGAUGAAUACUCGCUGUUUGCGAUAUACAGUAAGCGGCCAAGCGAAAGCAUUAAGUAUUCCACCUGGG